rnacentral:rRNA from 1 species
UACGGGGGGGGCAAGCGUUGUUCGGAAUUACUGGGCGUAAAGGGCUCGUAGGCGGCCAACUAAGUCAGACGUGAAAUCCCUCGGCUUAACCGGGGAACUGCGUCUGAUACUGGAUGGCUAGAGGUUGGGAGAGGGAUGCGGAAUUCCAGGUGUAGCGGUGAAAUGCGUAGAUAUCUGGAGGAACACCGGUGGCGAAGGCGGCAUCCUGGGCCAACACUGACGCUCAUGCACGAAAGCGUGGGGAGCAAACAGG